rnacentral:rRNA from 1 species
UCCUGGCUCAGAUGAACGCUGGCGGCGUGGAUAAGGCAUGCAAGUCGGACGAACUACCUUCGGGUAGUUAGUGGCGAACGGGUUAGUAACGCGUGGAUAACCUACCUUGAGGACAAGCAUAAUUCGGAGAAAUCCGAACUAAUUCUUGAUAAUAAUGAGGGGACGUAUGUCAUUCUCAUUUAAAGGUUUACAGCAAUGUAUUCCGCCUUAAGAGGGAUCCGCGUCCUAUCAGCUAGUUGGUAAGAUAAUGGCUUACCAAGGCUAUGACGGGUAGGAGACAUGAGAGUGUGUUCUCCAACACAGGCACUGAGACACGGGCCUGACUCCUACGGGAGGCAGCAGUCGAGAAUAUUGGUCAAUGGGGGAAACCCUGAACCAGCGACGCCGCGUGAGCGAAGAAGCUCUUCGGAGUGUAAAGCUCUUUUCUGGGGGAUGAACCUUUGGGUGACAGUACCCUAGGAAUAAGGGGUUGCUAACUCUGUGCCAGCAGCAGCGGUAAUACAGAGACCCCAAGCGUUAUUCGGAUUUAUUGGGCGUAAAGGGUCCGUAGGCGGUUAAACAAGUCUUUGGUUAAAGGCCCAGAGCUUAACUUUGGGAAUGCCAAGGAAACUGUUUAACUAGAGGGCGUUAGAGGCUGAUGGAACUCUCGGUGUAGGGGUGAAAUCCGUUGAUAUCGAGGGGAACACCAAAAGCGAAGGCAUUCAGCUAGGGCGUUCCUGACGCUGAGGGACGAAAGCGUAGGGAGAGAACGGGAUUAGAUACCCCGGUAUUCUACGCUGUAAACGAUGGACACUGGCUAUUUGAAGUGUCGACCCUUCAAGUGGCGAAGCUAACGCGUUAAGUGUCCCGCCUGGGAAGUACGGCGGCAACGUUAAAACUCAAAGGAAUAGACGGGGACUCACACAAGCGGUGGACCACGUGGCUUAAUUCGACAAUAAGCGAGGAACCUUACCAGGGCUUGAAAAACUAGUGAAAGUCUUCCGAAAGGAAGAUCUACCCACAAGGACACUAGUCCAGGUGCUGCAUGGUUGUCGUCAGCAUGUGCUUUGAAGUGCUCCCUUAAAUGGGGUAACAUGCGCAACCCUUACUUUAUGUUUUAUAUGUCAUAGAGAACUGCCCGAGACAAUCGGGAGGAAGAUGAGGAUGACGCCAAAUCAGCAUGGCCCUUUGAUGUCCUGGGCUGCACACGUGGUACAAUGGGGCCGACAAUGGGUUGCUAAGGCGUAAGCUGGAGCUAAUCCCACCAAACGGUCUCUCAGUUCGGAUUGAGGUCUGCAAUUGGACCUCAUGAAGCCGGAAUCGCUAGUAAUCGCAUAUCAGCCAUGGUGCGAGGAAUACGUUCCUGAGUCUUGUACUCACCGCCCGUCACAUUAGGGAAGCCGGCGGUAGCCGAAAUCUCGAGCAAUAGGGCCUAAGCUAAAGUCGGUAACAAGAGUGAAGUCGUAACA